rnacentral:lncRNA from 1 species
CAUCUCCUGAGCUCACCUGUCUGGAGACAUUCAACAACGAACAUGUUGAGCUGCUUCUCCACUUCGAGAGGCCGCAGCCUCAGGACCCCAGGCAGAGAAAGUGUCUGUGAAAGACUAAGAAGAUGGCUGACUCCAUCCAGACACUGCAGGCCAUGCUGCAGCAGCUGCACAACUGUCACACACACCCCAGGGAAGGUCUCCCCGGGAGUGACCACAGUAACCUACCAAAAUCAAGGGGCUUUGCUGAUGUUCAGGAGCAUCCAUUCUUUCAAAAUAUUGACUGGGACAUGAUGGAGCAAAAGCAGACUAAUCUUCAAGACACUUCAAGUGCUUUUGCUACCAUUUUGACUCUGAAGAGACAGUUGGCAAUGUACACUGUCUAUUAAACAAAGCUGAGCAGCGACUGAUGAAGGAUAAUGAAGACUAACAGGCCCAGGGAGCACAUAGUUGAGACACAGUGAUAUACAAGCUGGGAAGCCAAAGAAGCAGUACAGGGAGACAGGAAGCAAGGAAGACCUCUGUCAGCAAGCUAUGGCAACAUGCAGGAAAAGCUGGGCUGUUCCUACUGUAUUAUGGCAAUCUUGCUACUCCCACAUAGGUGAAAUUUGGGACCCUCUGGUUCCAUAAGAUGAAGGCUCCCCAACAUGCUGAGCACUCCCACAGACACACACUGGAGCUGCCUGUUGACAGCUGUUCAGUUUGACUGCAAGCUUUGCUCACCACCAAACAAGAAUAUCAACUUUGGUGUCUGCUUUUGUUAUCAAAGAAUAAAAUUUACAAUCAUAAAAUAUGUCCAUCAACAGAUGAAUAAAGAAAAUGUGAUAUUCAUACAUUGUC